GACGAACGCUGUCGGCGUGCUUAACACAUGCAAGUCGAACGGAAAGGCCCUGCUUUUGUGGGGUGCUCGAGUGGCGAACGGGUGAGUAACACGUGAGUAACCUGCCCUUGACUUUGGGAUAACUUCAGGAAACUGGGGCUAAUACCGGAUAGGAGCUCCUGCUGCAUGGUGGGGGUUGGAAAGUUUCGGCGGUUGGGGAUGGACUCGCGGCUUAUCAGCUUGUUGGUGGGGUAGUGGCUUACCAAGGCUUUGACGGGUAGCCGGCCUGAGAGGGUGACCGGCCACAUUGGGACUGAGAUACGGCCCAGACUCCUACGGGAGGCAGCAGUGGGGAAUAUUGCACAAUGGGCGGAAGCCUGAUGCAGCAACGCCGCGUGCGGGAUGACGGCCUUCGGGUUGUAAACCGCUUUCGCCUGUGACGAAGCGUGAGUGACGGUAAUGGGUAAAGAGGCACCGGCUAACUACGUGCCAGCAGCCGCGGUGAUACGUAGGGUGCGAGCGUUGUCCGGAUUUAUUGGGCGUAAAGGGCUCGUAGGUGGUUGAUCGCGUCGGAAGUGUAAUCUUGGGGCUUAACCCUGAGCGUGCUUUCGAUACGGGUUGACUUGAGGAAGGUAGGGGAGAAUGGAAUUCCUGGUGGAGCGGUGGAAUGCGCAGAUAUCAGGAGGAACACCAGUGGCGAAGGCGGUUCUCUGGGCCUUUCCUGACGCUGAGGAGCGAAAGCGUGGGGAGCGAACAGGCUUAGAUACCCUGGUAGUCCACGCUGUAAACGGUGGGUACUAGGUGUGGGGUCCAUUCCACGGGUUCCGUGCCGUAGCUAACGCUUUAAGUACCCCGCCUGGGGAGUACGGCCGCAAGGCUAAAACUCAAAGGAAUUGACGGGGCCCCGCACAAGCGGCGGAGCAUGCGGAUUAAUUCGAUGCAACGCGUAGAACCUUACCUGGGUUUGACAUGGAUCGGGAGUGCACAGAGAUGGGUGUGCCUCUUUUGGGGUCGGUUCACAGGUGGUGCAUGGCUGUCGUCAGCUCGUGUCGUGAGAUGUUGGGUUAAGUCCCGCAACGAGCGCAACCCUUGUUCACUGUUGCCAGCACGUUAUGGUGGGGACUCAGUGGAGACCGCCGGGGUCAACUCGGAGGAAGGUGGGGAUGACGUCAAGUCAUCAUGCCCCUUAUGUCCAGGGCUUCACGCAUGCUACAAUGGCUGGUACAGAGAGUGGCGAGCCUGUGAGGGUGAGCGAAUCUCGGAAAGCCGGUCUCAGUUCGGAUUGGGGUCUGCAACUCGACCUCAUGAAGUCGGAGUCGCUAGUAAUCGCAGAUCAGCAACGCUGCGGUGAAUACGUUCCCGGG
rnacentral:rRNA from 1 species